rnacentral:rRNA from 1 species
GACGAACGCUGGCGGCGUGCUUAACGCAUGCAAGUCGAACGGAAAGGCCCUGCUUUUGUGGGGUGCUCGAGUGGCGAACGGGUGAGUAACACGUGAGUAACCUGCCCUUGACUUUGGGAUAACUUCAGGAAACUGGGGCUAAUACCGGAUAGGAGCUCCUGCUGCAUGAUGGGGGUUGGAAAGUUUCGGCGGUUGGGGAUGGACUCGCGGCUUAUCAGCUUGUUGGUGGGGUAGUGGCUUACCAAGGCUUUGACGGGUAGCCGGCCUGAGAGGGUGACCGGCCACAUUGGGACUGAGAUACGGCCCAGACUCCUACGGGAGGCAGCAGUGGGGAAUAUUGCACAAUGGGCGGAAGCCUGAUGCAGCAACGCCGCGUGCGGGAUGACGGCCUUCGGGUUGUAAACCGCUUUCGCCUGUGACGAAGCGUGAGUGACGGUAAUGGGUAAAGAAGCACCGGCUAACUACGUG